UACGAAGGGGACUAGCGUUGUUCGGAAUCACUGGGCGUAAAGCGCACGUAGGCGGAUUCGUAAGUUAGGGGUGAAAUCCCGGGGCUCAACCUCGGAACUGCCUUUGAUACUGGACGUCUCGAGUUCGGGAGAGGUGAGUGGAAUUCCGAGUGUAGAGGUGAAAUUCGUAGAUAUUCGGAGGAACACCAGAAGCGAAGGCGGCUCACUGGCCCGAUACUGACGCUGAGGCGCGAAGCGUGGGAGGCAACAGGAUAGAACCCAGA
rnacentral:rRNA from 1 species